CUUUUAAUGUAACUGAUUAUACAAAUGUAAAACUACUAUACAACGUAAAAACUACGCUGAUCCCUAAUCUUAUAAGUGAUUCACAGUUCGAACAAUUCUAGUGAAUAUGAUAUAAUAUUUACAGUAUUGUAUCUCAUCAGAGUAAAUGGAAAACCACAAGGUGGCGCCUGCACUUACAUAGAAUGAUGGAAACAGUGGAAAAAAAGUUCUUGUCACUCCUCCCUUACAACUCACUUCCCAUUUGCUGACUGCCUUCAUCAGCACAGAAACGCCUGAACCAGAGUACAGUAUACAUACGUCUCAGCAGAGCACAAGGCAAAGGACAUUUCAACCAAAAUCCAAUAAUCAGCAGAAUGGAUUCCAGCCAGUCUUUCAACCAGCUUUCAGGGGCCUUCAAUUCAUCUGAGAAAUCAGUGAUGUUGCCGCCUGUAGCACCACCACCAGUAUACCAGGACAAUCUUGCUGGAUAUUCUCCCUCCUUUCCAAGCCAGUCAGUCCCCCAAGGCCCCUACGCCCAGGGGCCGUAUCCAGGACAGUCUGUGGUCGCUAUGCAGCCUGCAGUUUUUGUGCCCACCACUCCACUGGCCAAUCCAGUGCCAGAGUACACAUGCUAUUCCAUCUUCACCAUGCUGUGCUGCAGCUUUCAUCUGGGCACUGCUGCACUGGUUUACUCCCUCUCUACUCGAAAUGCCAACUACUCAGGACAGCGAGAAUUAGCAGAGAGGAACUCCAAAACUGCACGUACCCUGAAUCAUGUCGCUGUUGCUCUUGGCAUCGUUUGCACUGUAUUGCUUCUUGUCUACAUGUUUAUGUUGAGGAAAAAUAUGUAGCCUAUCCCUAACUGUUAAAGCUGUUAAAGCUGUUAAACCUGUCGGAAGCAGAUUAUGUUACAAACAAAUUUGAUUCUCUUGAUUGUAAGCAUUUUUAGUUUAGUGUGUCAAUAUCCACCCAGUAAAACAAGCUUUAACUAUUGGAUGUUUAAAACAAUACAAGCACUUACUGAGCAAUUUAAAGGGGUCAUAUGAUGUGAUUUAAAUUUUUCCUUUCUCUUUGGAGUGUUUCAAGCUCUUGGUGCAUAAAGAAGAUCUGUAAAGUUGCAAAGACUAAAGUCUCAAAUCCAAAGAGAUAUUCUUUAUAAAAGUUAAGAGUCAACCACUCCUACCUAAAACGGCUCGUUCUAACACGCCCCCACAUAUCUACCUCACUAUGUGGGAAGAUUUGCAUAACACCGCCCAAAUGUUCACGCAAAGAAAGAAGGUGUAACUUUGAUUCUCACUGUAGUAUUGUUGUUGCCGUGUGUUUCGUUGUGAAAGCGAAACUACUUUGUUUGGCUUUCCAAAAGAGGACGAUAUCCGCUUCAUCAUGCCUAGAGCUGAUCUGUGCUGGUCGCUGAGGAAAUACAUCAACUUCGCGCUGUGGAUCGCCGGAUCGGCUUUCACCGUGGAUGAAGCAGAGUUCAGCCCGGAGUCAUCACAUGUGGUUGCCGCAAGCCCGCCGGCCUCCACUCACUUAAGCCAAAUCAGUGGUUAAGAUGUAUUUACAACACUGUUCCAGAACAGUUCAACCCAAAUAUUCAGAUGUGUGCAGCACAUUUGUCUGGUCGUGCCGAGAGACAGCAUCACAGUAUGGUAAGGGGCGUAACAUUCCCAUCACACGCUUGAGGUAUUUGGCCAAUCACAACGCACUGGAUAGCUGGCCAAUCAGAGCACACCUCGCUUUUCAGACCGAUGAGCUUUGUAAAAAUCGACACGUUUCAGAAAGGCAGGACAUAGAGGAGAAACAAUAAUGUACAGUAUGUGGAAAAUAAUGUGUUUUUUAACCUUAAACCGCAUAAACACAUUUCAUUACACCAAAUACACAAAAUAAUGUUCUUUUUAGCAACAUCAUAUGACCCCUUUAAUUUAACAUGAAAAAACUUAUUCUUGUUUAUUAUAGAAUUGCCAACAAUUCUUCUUUUAGCCAAAUGUAGGCAUAUCUGUUUUUGUUCUCUUUACAUCUAUAAUGUUUUUAGACCUUUUUGCUUAUCUUAAAUAUCCUGUGUGUAACUAAUUAUUUUACAUAGGCCUACUUUUGUAGGCUAUUAUAUUUUACACAUUUGUAUGGACAUAAAUAUUCCAGUAGUCCACAUUGUUAAAAGGUACUAUAUAAGUUAAAAUAUAUAAUAAUACAUCUCAUUAUAUUGCAUUUAUUUCAUUAUACAUUUCAUUUUAGAUCUAUCUAUCUAUCUAUCUAUCUAUCUAUCUAUCUAAUCUGAUUGUACAACCCACAUACAUGUGUGUAUGUUUUCAAGAGCCCCAUGCAACUGAGUUGUCAUUCUUGUUUUGUAAAGACAUUUUACAAAAGAAAACAUUGCAUAAAUCCUGUUUUAUAACAGUGUGUGAUUGUUGGGUGACAAUUAUUACUAGCGUCAUAGAAGAAUCAAUUGAUCUGAGACAUAUGUAGGGUUUUGUACUUUUAGUGCAUUUUGAAUGUGAAAUUAACUGCUGUGCAAAGCUGAAAGUUGGUAAGGAGAACUGUAAAAGUGUUUUGGAAAAGUCACCUAUAUUGAGAAGUGUAUCCCAGAGAAUUUAAAUAAAAACUGUAAUUGAAGGGCAGGAAGAUCAGCCCAAAAACAUGCUCAGUAAUCAUAAACUCAUCCCCAUCUGUGUCCUAAGACCUUUUUUCCCCCUGAAUUCAUAAUGUUAAAUGUUGAUUCCACCAGGUGGCGCCUGCAGUCAAGCUAUAAAGAAGUUACAGUAAAUUCAAUCUAUGCUAAAA
rnacentral:lncRNA from 1 species